UCUUUCUUUUUCUUUUUCAAGAAACAAGAAUCUAUUUUUCUCCCAUUUUCAUCUCACCAAAAAUUACACUUCCGAUUCUUCCAAAAUCUCUCGCAUUCUCAUCGAUUCUUCCAAAAUCACACUUCGAACUCACAAUCUCCGCCGAUUCUUCAAUGAUCGUUUGUGUGCAUCUUCCGUAUCCCGCGAUUCUUCAAUGAGAAAUUUUCAAGCUGAUUUCUGAAUCAAUUGAUUGCGGCUGAGGUUGAAGGCGAAAAAGAGAGCUAUGAUGUAAAAAUAGGGAUGAGGUAGAAAGCAAAAAAGAUAGAUACUCCAUGAUGCAAUAAUAGGAUCAGCAGGAGCUUACGCAUAUCUCAGAUUCUUACGGGGGAAAAAGUCUCAAAGUUGACUAUGAUGCAAGGGCUGAGGUAGACGGUGAAAAAGAGAGCUAUGAUGUAAAAAUAGGGAUGAGGUAGAAAGCAAAAAAGAUAGAUACUCCAUGAUGCAAUAAUAGUGGAAUUGUGUUUGCUAAAGCUGAACAGAGCUGGUGGUAUGAAGAGCAGGAUCGUCGGUUCUUUCUCCAGUAUGGAAAUAAUCUUAGACCUCCAGUUCUUCUUUUUCCAGGAUCAGCAGGAGCUUACGCAUAUCUCAGAUUGUUACGGGGGGGAGUCUUAAAGUUGACUAUGACGCAAGGUAAUAGAUAUCCAUGCAUGCAUUAUGAAUAAAAGUUCAUAUAUAUAUUUUUUAACAUGUUCCUGAUCAUUGGUUACUAUGUUAUAUAAUCAUAACAAUGACUUGAUGAAUAAUUUGGCCCAUUUACUUCGUAUUAUUUUUUAUUUUUUUGGUCAAGUACUGUGUAUUAUUAUUAAGGGAAAAAAAGACAUAAGAAUUGGAGAACAAAAGAAAACACAGGUUUGGUAUUAGGAAUUGGAGAACAAAAGAAAAACAGGUUUGGUAUUAGUGGUGAUGCAGAUUUGGAUAAUUGGAAUUAGAAGAAAUGUGAGUUCAGUGUUGGAAGCGAAAGAAGCAAGAAUGUUGUUGGUGGUAGGCCAAAGUUGUUUCUCUUAUAUUGUUAAUUUGGUUAGAGCAUAUCAUGCAAAGAAAAUAAUGCGCAGAAUUGCUUUAGCAUUAGGUGGAUCACCAUGAGUUUGAAUGAGAUAGAGCUUGUGAUCUAUUUUGGAUUAUGCGUAUAGUUUGUUACCCUGGCGUAAAUGACAUAGGAUGGUAAUGAAAUCAAUCUAGCCUAUCUAGGACCUGAAUAUCUCUAAAAUUCUUACAUUUUUUAUCUAUGUUUGUUAGACCUUACAUUAUUGAACUAACGCAUCAUACAACUAGGGCUUUUGACAGAGGGUGUUGCUUGCAUAGAAUCUACUAACAAUUCAUUAAGAAUGAUUGGAUCUUCUGCUUGAGUAAAAAAAAAACCUUAAUCGUGUAAAAAGACAGUUUUUUGUUUGACAGGAUAAUGGACAUAUAUGGUUUAUAAUCGAUACAUGUUGGGAACGAUUGUGGCUACCGAUGAUUAUUCAAACAUAUUUGCUACGGUAAUUAUGGGAUAAUUCAAGAACAUUCAAUCUUCUGCUUGAAAACACGUACGAAACUUUAAUUAAGGAAACAUGAUUUUGUAUUAUGAACUUAAUGAUCCUUGUCCCUAAUGAUAGAUAAGUUUUGUAAGGGAUGGAUGCCUCAAUGACCCUUGAGGAAAAUGCAUUAUGAAAUCUUUGUUCAUAAUGCAAAAGUUGGAUGGUGGCUUUAGAAGUGAUUUUACAUUAUGAACUUUAAUUGAGGAAAUGUGUUCUGUCCCAAAUAUUUUCAAUCUUCUGCUUAUUGAUUUAUAAUUAAUACCUAUUGGAACAACGAUGGGUUUUCGAAUUUUCCAUUAUUGAUUAUUCAAAUACCUUCAAUCUUCUGCUUCAACAAAAUGUGAAAUUUAAAAUUUUGUAAGGGAUUGGAUGUCUUGAUGCCCAAAAAAUGCUUGAUAAAUUACUUAAUGACCCUAGUCAUUGAAUGUGAAAUCUUAUUGUUGCCUUAAUUGCUACUCAAAGCAAUUGUCCCUAUCGGUGUGCGCUUUUCUAUUAAAAAAAAUUAUGAAUUUUUAUUCAUAGUAAUGCAUGAAUGAAUAUACAUUCUGCUUUGAUGACCCUUAGUCCC